ACGGCCGUAUCAGGUUGCAAAACAGCUUUCCGUACGGCCACCGAAGUUAAACAACGUCGGGCCUGGUCAGUACCGAGAUGGGUGGACGCUUGGGAAUACCAGGUGUUGUAAG